AUACGGAGGGUGCAAGCGUUAAUCGGAAUUACUGGGCGUAAAGCGCUCGUAGGCGGCUUGUUAAGUCGGAUGUGAAAGCCCCGGGCUCAACCUGGGAACUGCAUUCGAUACUGGCAGGCUAGAGUAUAGUAGAGGCAAGUGGAAUUCCGGGUGUAGCGGUGAAAUGCGUAGAUAUCCGGAGGAACAUCAGUGGCGAAGGCGACUUGCUGGACUAAUACUGACGCUAAGGAGCGAAAGCGUGGGGAGCAAACGGGAUUAGAUACCCCGGUAGUCC
rnacentral:rRNA from 1 species